rnacentral:lncRNA from 1 species
UAAACUUUAAAGAGUGAAUAAGGCUGUAUAUGGUAGUCUAUGAAGGUAAUACAGGCAAGAGAUGACAAUGGCUUGGUCUAAAGUACUGACAGUAGAGAUGGGUGGCUGUUACUGCCUGGUACUUCCAGCCAACCUCAUGAGCCAGGUGCCCCAGUAGACGGUAGUAAAGCUUCCUGACCUGCUACAGGAAAUGAAAGUUCCAUUCACAGAAGCAUCGAAGGAAUUGAAGGCUAGAUCUUUAACCUCCUGCAGAUCUUCCACUUUCCUCAUUUCCCUGUCAUGGAAAUACAGGGCACUUUCCUCCACAGCGCUAAUGCCUUCAGCUCCCCAUGAUCCUCACUGCACAGCUCCGGCUCAGAUGCUGCAAGAGCAGAAAAGCAAUUGGCCAAGAUGCAAGUGUUGCCAGGAAGUGUGUGAAAGCAAAACAAAUUAAGAAGUCUUUCAAGAGGAACAGGAUGUGCAAGUUCACUGAGGCAAAGUAAGCCGGGCUUGAGGUUCAGAGAACUAUUAAUAGAAGAGUCAUCUUCACUGAAAAUUAGCAUAAUUAAGAUGCCCUGACUGUGUAAUGUGUAAAUGACAAGCAAUUGGUAGUAAAUAUGAAUGUGGCUUAACUCAGUUUCCAUUAUUUGUUGAUGAUUUACUUAGGCUAUUCAAGUACUGGAUGGCUAUUUGUGGGGAGGCAGGCUAAAAGCCACAUCACCACAGUCAAGCAUUCAUUCAAGUUAAGUGCAGUAGAGAAUGUUGCGACAAGUAAAAUAUUCAACUUUUUUUUCCUGUAGUUUGCCAGUAGAAGACAAUGUGAACAAAUGGUGUGUCAUGGAAUUUUAGAGGAAGGAGGAGGAACACCAGAGCAUCUAAUCUAGUGACUUUCAACCUUUUAGGCCCAAGAGGACUUUUACAACAAAUCUUUUGUAGCACCUCUGUCCUAUCCUAGAAUAAGAUUCAUAGACAAGUAAUUUAUAUAUGUGUACAACUAAAAAUGUCCUAACUAGUGGGAAAUAAAAUGAGAGUGAUUGACGAGGAUACA